rnacentral:misc_RNA from 1 species
AUGGAGGCGUCCAGGUCUGUCUCUUCCAUUCUUCUCUGUAAAGUCUAAAGUUUACUUUUUGAUUGUUCUGUUUAUGGUUCUUAUUGCGAAUUCUUUGGGUGCCUUUCAAUUCUUUGUAAGUGACUCUGAAAAGAAAUGUAGGAAUGUUAAGAACAGAACUAAUUCGGAGUGAGAUUGCAAUUUUAUUAAUUGAUUAUUUUUCUCUGUUUGAAUCGUUAUUAAGGGCAAUUUAUGAAUCUCCAUUACUUCCAUUUGAAAAGAGUAAGGCUAUAUUCAGUAGCGAGUUGUAUUUUUUCCUUCCUUAUUGAAUAGUUGUUGAGACUUGAGAAAUUAAUAACGGAAAGAAAUGAAUGAAUUCCGUGUUUAUGAUCUAAUGAUGGUAAUAGUAUUAAUAAGAAGUAAGAAUUAAUAGCGUUAGAGUGCUAAAGCAAAUGCAAAAGAGAGAAAUAGUUGCUAAUUUAUUAAAUAAUCUUUGGACAUUUGGGUCAUAAUCAUAUGACCAAUUAGCUUCUAAGUAGGUCAUACUUUGCUUCCCAAUUAACAGUUUCUUUGUUACGUGCUGCUAUGUUCAUAUGUCAUGCUAGUCACUACGAAUAUGACUGUACAAAUUGGCUUUGAUGUGUCUGAGUGACCUGCAGUGUAUGAUGCUCCAUUGUUUUUUUCGGAUUGUAGUGGAUUGGUCUUUAUAAUACUGGUUUCUGGUCUGGUUGUUGCUUUGUGUACAAUGAUGCAUAAAUUUUGAAUCAUCUUACAACACUUAAUGGCUUUUUACUUCAUUUUCGUAGUAUUAAUGUGCUGAAGUUAUCAGUCUUUAUUGGUAGUGGAUUGGUCUAUAUUAUACUGGUUUCUGGUCUGGACUGUCUGGUUGGUGCUUUUAUGCAAUGAUGCUUAAAUUUUUUAUCAUCUAAUUAGCACACUGAAUGGAGUUGUACUUUAAUGACAGUGUUUAAGUGAUUACUUUUGCUGGUGAUUUUGAUAAAUUAUCCUUAGGAAAGCGGGCAUUCACUUUUCCAUAUAAUUUCACCGGAAACAGGUAGCCGUUUUGUUUGUUUGAUGUUAUUAUGCUAUAUCUUUUAUUAACACCACCAAAUCAUUUAAAUGAAUCUUUAUAUUUGCAAGAUGAAAGUUUUGUGUGUCACCCAGUAAAAUAUAAGGAAGAAUUUGGGGCAAACAAUCAAUUGGUUUUCAUUAUUAAAAAUGCAACAGGUAAAACAAAACAAUAAAUUGCAUAAUGAUCAGUUGUUGGACUCAUAGAGGAUGUGGAUUAAUAGAACAAAUUUGAAACUGAAGCAGUUACUUGCAAAGCAACACCAAUUCUUUACUGAAUAAGAUUCAUUCUGUUUGAGAAAAUGCUGCAUAAGCAUGCACAGAGCAGAGUAUGAGAAGAUUUUGUUCAUUGAUGUGCUGGCUUCCUUAUUCACUAAACUUUUUUGCAUGAACAGCGGUCCAAAGCUCCAUUCCCACUUAUAAAAUUUGAGGAAGAGAAGACUUCUUGCUAUGAGCUCAUAUGUUGUGUGAGAUAAGAAUGAAACAUCAAUAACUCCAUUAUCAAUUGCAUUGGACUGUUGCUACUUGCUCAUUGCUUAUAAUGUUUAGUUUUCACCUUUUCGGGGUAUGAUGACCCUUGUCCAAAGAGGUAAUAGGUAUGAUGAUUAUCAGUUUAUUUGAGAAGCAUCAAUACUUCAUAGGGAAUGUGACUGUGUAUUUUGUUAUUAUAAGUUAAGAUAUGAGAGGAAACAUUAAUUUAUCUAAUAGUAUGGAAUGAAAGGGCAGUCUCCAAUGUCAAGUGGCAAGUUAGAAAGCAGCAGGUAGCUCCAUCAUUGAGGAGAAUCAAAACAGUAUGGAAUGAAAGUAAAAAUGGUUAACUGAAAGUUCGUAAGUAAUUGCAUUAAUUAUAUUUAUAGCAAGAAGGACUUUGGUUUAGAGAAAAAAUGAAUGUGGUGUGCACUAGAAAAUACACAAUUGGCAUUCAGGCACAUUUAGGAAGGUUAGAGAGAUGUACUCUCUUUUUGAAAGAUAUUUUAGCCCACUAAGCCAAAACUCCCUAUGUCUCUCCAAAUCCAGUUGCUAAUUUUAAGUUCAAUACUUGUGCUUCUUAAUCCAAACCAUUUAGUUUUAGAUGACAUAUUGUUGGGUAGCUCCAACGUAUGAUUGAAUGAUAGACUUGUAAUUUCUGCAUGUUACAUCUAGUUAUUAGAAAUACA